GUGUCAGCAGCCGCGGUAAUACAGAGACUGCAAGCGUUAUUCGGAUUCACUGGGCGUAAAGGGUGCGCAGGCGGCCAGGUGUGUCAGGUGUGAAAGCCCGGAGCUUAACUCCGGAAUUGCGCCUGAAACUACUUGGCUAGAGCAUUGGAGAGGGUAGCGGAAUUCACGGUGUAGCAGUGAAAUGCGUAGAUAUCGUGAGGAACACCAGAGGCGAAGGCGGCUACCUGGACAAUUGCUGACGCUCAGGCACGAAAGCGUGGGGAGCAAAAGGGAUUAGAUACCCCAGUAGUCC
rnacentral:rRNA from 1 species